UACGUAGGGAGCAAGCGUUGUCCGGAUUUACUGGGUGUAAAGGGUGCGUAGGCGGCUUUGCAAGUCAGAUGUGAAAUCUAUGGGCUCAACCCAUGAACUGCUUUCAAAACUGUUUUUCUUGAGUAGUGCAGAGGUAGGCGGAAUUCCCGGUGUAGCGGUGGAAUGCGUAGAUAUCACGAAGAACCCCGAUUGCGAAGGCAGCUUGCUAAACUGUAACUGACGUUCAUGCUCGAAAGUGUGGGUAUCAAACAGG
rnacentral:rRNA from 1 species